UUUGGCAUCAUAUCCCUCUCCAGGGUUUCAUCUUUCGAGCUAUGCAUUAGCAUGCUGGGCCGAUGGAAGAUGGAAGCAGAAUGCAUUUAUAACAAGGGCACUGGCCACAGGUUUACAACGACUUACUGGUUGUACUGAUGGAGCAGAGUGCAUAUUUGUGCAGACUCUGCAAAGAGUAACUGAAAGACUCGACUGAUCAGAUUUGUCAGGAGGGCUUUCUUAUUUAUGUAUCCAAUUUUAUGCAUGCCAGAGGAAGAAGAUCAAGGUAUGUAUAUAUAGCUUGAUUAGACAUAAUGGUAAAUUUCUUAUGCUUUUUUGGCCUAAAUCAUCUAUUCUGUUGUGCGUACAUGUACUGCAAUGUAUUAUUUUUUGGCCUGAAUCAAAAAAUAAUUCAGUCAUUUAACCUUCUCAAAUCUGGAUCAUGUACUACACAGUGUUGUUUCUUUUGCAUGGAAGCAUCACGCACACCUUCCAGUAGGACCUGAAUGAUGUGCAGAAGAUAACAAAACAAGUUUACAAGUGUUACCGAAAUUUCCUUAAGUUCUUUUCUCCUAUGAUUUACUGAAUGCAUCCUUGUGUUCUCUAAUUGUGUAAAAAAUGGCAUCUUUGUAAUGUACUUUUAUUUAACUCAGCUCAUACUCCGUAUUGUACUUCUAAAAUUCGCCAAGUUUCGAAUUCUGACUCGGAGUGCUUAUGCAUGUUCUUUUUUUGUUAGCUUUUAGUCAGCUGAGUUGAAGAAGCAAGUAAGCCUGAAGAAAUGGACAGAUUGACAUUUAAAAAUCCUGAAGAUAUGAACAAACAAUCUUGCAGAUUCAUGUGUACUAGCCUGCUCAUUCAUGUAUAGUUUAUAAUCUGAGGAAAUGUUUGCCGUCCGUGUUAACCUCCAGUCUUGUACUGCUAAAGAUUGUAGUUUGUGUUGUAGCAUAUGUGGGCAUGUUCUUUACUUCAAUCUAGACUUACGUGCCUUUGUGUUAAGUUGUCUUACAUCUCAAGUUUUGUAUUUUCAUGUUUCAUGAAUUAUGUGGGUAUGUGGCAGCCCACAUAAUACCACAUACAGUAUGUGGGCAGCCC
rnacentral:lncRNA from 1 species